UAUAUACUCCCUCCGUUCGGAAUUACUUGUCGCAGAAAUGGAUGUAUCUAGACGUAUUUUAGUUCUAGAUACAUCCAUUUUUGAGACAAGUAAUUUCGAACGGAGGGAGUAGUAU
rnacentral:pre_miRNA from 1 species